AGACCAGAAACAGCUUCACAUCUUACAACUCCCUACCUGCUUUGCCAAGAAGGACUUUAAAAUCUGUACAUUAUCAGAACUAAGGACCCCCCCCUAAACUUUGAUGACAAGGUUAAUGGAUCUGUGGUCUUGUUUGAGGCUGACUGAGGAGCGCUAUGAGACUGACUGCUCUUUGUGCUGAACUCAAGAGACAGCAAAUGCAAUACUGG